CCUGCAUCUACUUGGAAGUAGCAGUGGAAGAAACAGAUACUGAGAAAUUCAGCUGCUUGCCCCAGAACCUACCGCUAAUAAGUGGGAGAGUCAGAUCUUGAACCAGCGAGUCUGGCUCUAGAACUCUUUACAGACACGUUCCCUGUCCUCGACCAUCUUACAGUUUCUUCUUCAUAAGAGUUCCGUGAUUCCUCUCAGAAAUAAAGAAGCGGUAUUUGAGGAGAGAUGGAGAAAUUCUGGGAACCCAAGCCCUCUUGGACGAAGCAGUAACCUCAGCUUCCGUGGUGCAUCUUUGCUUUCUGCCAUCCUUCCUUCCUUUGUUCCUUCCUCCUUCUCCUCCCUUCUUU
rnacentral:lncRNA from 1 species